rnacentral:lncRNA from 10 species
AGAAACUGCUACCAGUUUUCCUCAUCUUAUAUAUCACUAAACCAUUAAACAAACAAACAACUUACAUAGAGCUUACAACAUGCCAAGCACUGUUCGGAGCUUCCCAUAGUCAAAUAAUCCUCGUAGCAAUCCUACAGAAAUAGGUACUAUUUUUAAUCUUCAUCUCAUCUGAGGAAAAUGAGGCACAGAAAGGUCAAGGUACCUUGAGUGGGGUCACACAGCUAAUGAGUGGCAGAGCCAGGAUUAGAAAUCAAGCACCCAAAUCGUGACAACAAAGGACAGAUGGCUCAGAAGGUCACCCAGUCUUCAAACUGUGUUUGUGAAAUCCUUUUCCCCAGCUCACCUGGCGAUCUGUUUAAUUGCCGUGUGAACCAUUUGUUUAGCUCUCAUUCAACGUUGAGGCAAAACUGGGAUCUUGGUCCAGGCAAAGCCCCACAGGAGGAUACGUCCCCCACUACAUUCAGGGCCUUCCUUUGAGCACAGAUGUCCAUCCUCCACUCCUCGGUCCUACCUUACACAUCGCCU